rfam:Triticum aestivum genome assembly, contig: Triticum_aestivum_CS42_TGACv1_scaffold_542520_6DS
UAGGUACUCCCUCCGUCCGAAAAUAUUUGUCCUCAAAAUGGAUAAAUUGGAUGUAUCUAUAACUAAAAUAAGUCUAGAUACAUCCAUUUCUAGGACAAGUAUUUCCGGCCAAAGGGAGUAUUAA